rnacentral:rRNA from 1 species
AUAGUACCUUACUACUUGGAUAACCGUGGUAAUUCUAGAGCUAAUACAUGCUGAACGCCCCGACUUGCGGAGGGGUGUGUUUAUUAGAUAAAAAACCAACGCCCUUCGGGGCUCCUUGGUGAAUCAUAAUAACCUCACGAAUCGCAUGGCCUUGCGCCGGCGAUGGCUCGUUCAAAUUUCUGCCCUAUCAACUUUCGAUUGUAGUGUAGUGGACUACAAUGGUGUUUACGGGUAACGGGAAAUUAGGGUUUGAUUCCGGAGAGGGAGCCUGAGAAACGGCUACCACAUCCAAGGAAGGCAGCAGGCGCGCAAAUUACCCAAUCCCGACGCGGGGAGGUAGUGACAAUAAAUACUGAUACAGGGCUCUUUUGGGUCUUGUAAUCGGAAUGAGUACAAUUUAAACCCCUUAACGAGGAACAAUUGGAGGGCAAGUCUGGUGCCAGCAGCCGCGGUAAUUCCAGCUCCAAUAGCGUAUAUUAAAAUUGUUGCAGUUAAAAAGCUCGUAGUUGAACCUUGGGCCUGGCUGGCCGGUCCGCCUCACCGCGUGCACUGGACCGGCCGGGCCUUUCCUCCCGGCGAACCCCAUGCCCUUCGCUGGGUGUGCGGGGGACCCGGGACUUUUACUUUGAAAAAAUUAGAGUGUUCAAAGCAGGCCUUCGCUCGAAUACAUUAGCAUGGAAUAAUGGAAUAGGACGCGCGGUCCUAUUUUGUUGGUUUCUAGGACCGCCGUAAUGAUUAAUAGGGAUGGUCGGGGGCGUCAGUAUUCAAUUGUCAGAGGUGAAAUUCUUGGAUUUAUUGAAGACUAACUACUGCGAAAGCAUUCGCCAAGGAUGUUUUCAUUAAUCAGUGAACGAAAGUUAGGGGAUCGAAGACGAUCAGAUACCGUCGUAGUCUUAACCGUAAACUAUGCCGACUAGGGAUCGGGCGAUGUUAUCAUCUUGACUCGCU